GGGUUCUUAGCUCAGUUGGUAGAGCGGCGGUCUCCAAAACCGUAGGUCGAGGGUUCAAGUCCUUCAGGGCCCG
rfam:Deinococcus radiodurans R1 chromosome 1, complete sequence.